CUAAAAGUAGGUUAAAUUAGUCAAGUUUAAAAUGCAGACUGUUGACAUUUAUUUAGUUUUAAAGAACACGGUAAUGAAACCCCGUAAUAGUAAUUCCAAGACACUAAGUCUUAGAACGGAACUACAAAGUAAAGAACUACAUAGAAUUAGAGACUUUAGAAACUUUAAAGGUUGAUAUUUUCAUAACUAUAAUUAAGGAAGGGAUGUUGUAUCCAAAUGCUGAUUGGACAGCUGAAGUGAUUGACAUAUAAGAUUAGGUCACGAGACAGUUAGAUUAGGAGACGCUAAGCCAGAGAGCAAGUUUAUAUGUACAAUAUAGCAGAGUAAAUAUAUGUUAUAAAAGUUGAAUAACAGAGGA
rnacentral:lncRNA from 1 species